rnacentral:rRNA from 1 species
GGCAUGGAUUAGGCAUGCAAGUUGAACGCGAAAGCAUGAUGAAGGAUCCUUCGGGUGACUGAUUCGGCGAGUAGAGCAGCGCAAGGGUGAGUAAUACAUGGCUACAUACCCCAAACAUGAGAAUAACUAUUAGAAAUGAUAGCUAAUGCUCAAUAGUUUCUUAAGACCUCCUGGUCUAAAGAAUAAAGGUAGGGAUCCUUCGGGACCUUCCGGUUUGGGAGUGGGUCAUGGGCUAUCAGCUAGUUGGUGAGGUAAAGGCUCACCAAGGCUAAGACGGCUAGGCGAUCUGAGAGGAUGAUCGCCCACAUCGGGACUGAGACACUGCCCGGACUCCUACGGGAGGCUGCAGUCGAGAAUCUUCCGCAAUGGGCGCAAGCCUGACGGAGCGACGCCGCGUGAGGGACGAAGGCUUUAGGGUCGUAAACCUCUUUCGCUUGUUAAGAAAAGUGUAUGUUAAUAGCAUGCACCCUGACAAAGGCAAGUAAAGAAACACCGGCUAAAUCCGUGCCAGCAGCCGCGGUAAUACGGAUGGUGCAAGCGUUACUCGGAAUCACGGGGCGUAAAGCGUUCGUAGGUGGUUUAUUAAGUUGGAUGUGUAAUCCCACGGCUUAACCGUGGAACUGCGUUCAAAACUGAUAAACUAGAGAGCAGUAGGGGACAAGGGAACUUCGGGUGGAGCGGUGAAAUGCGUAGAUAUCUGAAGGAACACCGAUGGCGAAAGCACUUGUCUGGGCUGAUUCUGACACUGAGGAACGAAAGCUAGGGUAGCGAACGGGAUUAGAUACCCCCGGUAGUCCUAGCCGUAAACGAUGGAUACUAGCUUGUGGAAUCUUCGGAUCUCACUUUGCGUAGUUAACGCGUUAAGUAUCCCCGCCUGGGGAGUAUGCGCGCAAGCGUAAAACUCAAAGGAAUUGACGGGGGCUCACACAAGCGGUGG